AUCCAGGGAUGGGAAACGAACUCACAGUGUUCCGCUUACCGGGCAGAUGCCAUGUCCACUAAGCUCUACCCUGGA
rnacentral:tRNA from 1 species